rnacentral:rRNA from 1 species
CCUACGGGAGGCAGCAGUGAGGAAUAUUGGUCAAUGGGCGGAAGCCUGAACCAGCCAAGUAGCGUGCAGGAUGACGGCCCUACGGGUUGUAAACUGCUUUUAUACGGGAAUAACGCGCCUUACGCGUAGGGCUUUGCAUGUACCGUAUGAAUAACGACCGGCAAAUUCCGUGCCAGCAGCCGCGGUAAUACGGGAGGUCCGGGCGUUAUCCGGAUUUAUUGGGGUUAAGGGGAGCGUGGGCCGCAUGUCAAGCGUGCUGUGAAAUGUCCGGGCUAAACCCGGGCCUUGCAGCGCAAACUGGCGUGCGUGAGUCCGCGGAAAGCAGGCGGAAUUCGUGGUGUAGCGGUGAAAUGCUUAGAUAUGACGAAGAACCCCGAUUGCGAAGGGAGCUUGCUGCCGCGGAACUGACGCUGAUGCUCGAAAGCGCGGGUAUCGAACAGGAUUAGAUACCCCGUAGUC